GUGUCAGCAGCCGCGGUAAUACGUAGGGUGCGAGCGUUAAUCGGAUUUACUGGGCGUAAAGCGUGCGCAGGCGGCCCGUUAAGACAGGUGUGAAAUCCCUGGGCUCAACCUAGGAAUUGCGCUUGUGACUGGCGGGCUCGAGUACGGUAGAGGGGGGUGGAAUUCCUGGUGUAGCAGUGAAAUGCGUAGAGAUCAGGAGGAACACCGAUGGCGAAGGCAGCCCCCUGGGCCUGUACUGACGCUCAUGCACGAAAGCGUGGGGAGCAAACAGGAUUAGAUACCCUGGUAGUCCACGCCCUAAACGAUGGGUACUAGCCGUUUGGUGCGCGAUAGCGCUGAGUGGCGAAGCUAACGCGUGAAGUACCCCGCCUGGGGAGUACGGCCGCAAGGUUGAA
rnacentral:rRNA from 1 species